GACGUAGGGGGCCCGCGUUGCUCGGCAUUACUGGGCGUCAAGGGUUCGUAGGCGGGGCGGCAAGUUGGGAGUGAAAUCUCUGGGCUUAACCCAGAGGCUGCUUCCAAAACUGCCGUGCUAGAGUGCGAGAGAGGCGAGUGGAAUUGCAGGUGUAGCGGUGAAAUGCGUAGAUAUCUGCAGGAACACCCGUGGCGAAGGCGGCUGGCUGGAUCGCAACUGACGCUGAGGAACGAAAGCUAGGGGAGCAAACAGG
rnacentral:rRNA from 1 species